rnacentral:lncRNA from 1 species
CUAGCCCCGGAAGUCACGUAGUGUCUAUUAGUUGAAGCAGUGACAGAGGCCCACCUGGGCUCGACAGAAGGGACAUUGACUCCACCUCUUCCUGGGGGUAUGGCAAGGUCUGGAAGAGUAGGUGGCACCACGAAUAUCGUUGCAGCCAUUUUUGGGAAAUACGUCUACCACACCACCUAUGACUGGACUCUGCUGUCUAGGGACUGGCCUCAAAAUGAACCGACUUCUUUAGAACCACAGUGCCCCACCGGUGUCGGUACUGCCAGAGAUGCCCCUUAGAU